GGAGAGGUCGCAUAGUUGGUCUAGUGCGCGCGCUUGGAAAGCGCGUGUGGGGCAACCUACCGCGAGUUCGAAUCUCGCCCUCUCCGCCG
rnacentral:tRNA from 1 species